CCUGGUUGAUCCUGCCAGUAGUGAUAUGCUUGUUUCAAAGAUUAAGCCAUGCAUAUCUCAAUGCAAGCCUGUCUAAGGUGAAACAGCGAUUCAUUAAAUCAGUUAUGGUUCAUUGGACAUUACUACUUUAUUUGGAUAAUACAUGCUACACGAGUACAGACCAGAAAUGGAAGGAACACUUUUAUUAGAUUAAAACCAAUCGGUCGGGUUCGACCCGACCGAUGAAUUUUGGUGACUCUGAAUAACUUUGGGCUGAUCGCACGGUCUCCGCUCUGGCGACGGACAUUUCAAAUGUCUGCGUUAUCUACUGACGAUGGUAGGUUCUGUGCCUACCAUGGUUGUAACGGGUGACAGGGAAACAGGGUUUGAUUUCGGAGAGGGAGUCUGAGAGACGGCUACCACAUCCAAGAAAGGCAGCAGGCGCGCAAAUUACCCACUCCCGACACGGGGAGGUAGUGACGAAAAAUAAUGAUAUAUGUCUCAUCCGAGACCCCGUAAUCGGAAUGAGAACACUUUAAAUCCUUUAACGAACACUAUCAGAGGGCCAGCGUGAUGCCAGUAGUCGCGGUAAUUCCAACCCUGAUUGCGUGUAUUAAAGUUGCUGCGGUUAAAAAUCUCGUAGUUUCACAUGUGUCCCGCGCUGCCGGUUCACCGCUUGUCGGUGUCUAACUGACAUGCAUGCGGGACGUCCUGCUGGUGGCGGUGAACCGACGUCGGGCGCCCGCUUCUAUGCGCCGAGAUGUAAGCGAAGUUCAUCGUAUCGUGCGAAGGGACCCCGUCCCGUUCGGAUUACGUUAGCUCUUCGAAGGCGGACCCCGAAGUCACCCGUCGCGGUGCUCUUGACUGAGUGUCGUGCGUGCCGGCACGUUUACUUUGAACAAAUGAGAGUGCACAAAGCAGGCCCUUGACUGCCUGAAUACUGUGUGCAUGGAAUAAUGAAAUAGGACCUCGGUUCUAUUUCGGAGCUCGAGGUAAUGAUUAAUGGGGAUUGCUGGGGGCAUCCGUAUUGCGACGUUAUAGGUGAAAUUCUUGGAUCGUCGCAAGACGAACUGCACCGAAAGCGUUUGCUAUAUAUGUUGUCUUUAAUCAAGGACGAAAAUUAGAGGUUUGAAGGCGAUAAAAUACCGCCCUAGUUCUAACUAUAAACUAUACCAUCUAGCGAUCCUCUGUGUGUCUUAGAUAUACCGGCGGGCAACCCUCGGAAAACCAAAGAUUUUGGAUUCCGGGGGAAGAAUUGUUGCAAAGCUGAAACUUAAAGAAAUUGAAACUUAAAGAAACCAGCAGUGGGACCUGCGGCUUAAUUUGACUCAACGCGGGGUAUCCUACUAGGCCUGGACACUCUAAGGAUUGACAGAUUGAAAGGUCUUUCUUGAUUGGGUGAGUGGUGGUGCAUGACCGUUCUUCGUUUGUUGGGCGACUUGUCUGCUUAAUUGCGAUAACGAACGAGAUUGUAGUCUGCUAACUAGUCGAUACUGACAUCCUAUAAGCAGCCGGCGACAAUACAUCGUAGAGGGACAGGUGGUGCAUAGCCACACGAGAAUGAACAAUAACAGGUCUGUGAUGCCCUUAGAUGUUCUGGACAGCACGUGCGCCACACUGAAGGGAUCAGCGUGUGUUUUCCUAGUCCGAGUGGAUCGGGUAACCCGUUGAACCUCCUUCGUGCUAGGAAUUGGGGCUUGUAAUUGAACCCCACGAACGAGGAAUUCUUAGUAAGCGCAAGUGAUAACCGCGAGUUGAUUAUGUCCCUGCCCUUCGUCCACAUCGCCCGUCCCUACUACCGAUUGAAUUAUUUAGUGAGGUCAUCGGACCACUGCGCGGUUUUCCGAGUUUUGUUUUUGAAAACCGAUUAUUUAGAGGAAGUAAGUCAUAACAAGGUUCCCGUAGGUGAACCUGCGGGAG
rnacentral:rRNA from 1 species